CGGCAACGGAUAUCUCGGCUCUCGCAUCGAUGAAGAACGUAGCGAAAUGCGAUACUUGGUGUGAAUUGCAGAAUCCCGUGAACCAUCGAGUCUUUGAACGCAAGUUGCGCCCGAAGCCAUCAGGCCGAGGGCACGCCUGCCUGGGCGUCACACGCCGUUGCCUCC
rnacentral:rRNA from 1 species